UGGGGAAUCUUGGGCAAUGGGCGCAAGCCUGAUCCAGCCAUGCCGCGUGAGUGACGAAGGCCUUAGGGUUGUAAAGCUCUUUUGGCGGGGACGAUAAUGACGGUACCCGCAGAAUAAGCCCCGGCUAACUUCGUGCCAGCAGCCGCGGUAAUACGAAGGGGGCUAGCGUUGUUCGGAAUUACUGGGCGUAAAGCGCACGUAGGCGGAUUUGUCAGUCAGGGGUGAAAUCCCGAGGCUCAACCUCGGAACUGCCUCCGAUACAGCAAGUCUCGAGUCCGGAAGAGGUGAGUGGAAUUCCUAGUGUAGAGGUGAAAUUCGUAGAUAUUAGGAAGAACACCAGUGGCGAAGGCGGCUCACUGGAUCGGUACUGACGCUGAGGUGCGAAAGCGUGGGGAGCAAACAGGAUUAGAUACCCCCGUAGUCCCUGAGCGGGCUGGCAAGGCGCAU
rnacentral:rRNA from 1 species